CACGUAGGGGGCGAGCGUUGUCCGGAUUUAUUGGGCGUAAAGCGCUCGUAGGCGGCUCGGUAAGUCAGGUGUGAAACCUCCAGGCUCAACCUGGAGACGCCACCUGAUACUGCCGUGGCUAGAGUCCGGUAGAGGAGCGUAGAAUUCCUGGUGUAGCGGUGAAAUGCGCAGAUAUCAGGAGGAAUACCAGCGGCGAAGGCGGCGCUCUGGGCCGGUACUGACGCUGAGGAGCGAAAGCAUGGGGAGCGAACAGG
rnacentral:rRNA from 1 species